GGGCAAGUCACUUAAACUCUCUCAGCCUCAGUGUCCUCAUCUAUGAAAUGCUUAUAAGAAUAACAGUAAGCUUACAGGGGAUACAGAAAAUGAGCUAAGCAUGUCCUCUGAUUUCAUGAUGGCACAGCCCUCAGGAGGCUUGGGAUAUGAUGGGAUAUAGGGGUACCCAUAUGGAACUUGAUGAAACUCUGCAUUCUGAGGCCAUUACACUGGAGAAAAUUGGAGGGAUGUUACAUUUGGACAGUCCAAUUCAGGAAGCCGUUUAAUCACUCAGUGUUGUAUAUUGGGUUCUUAAUAGUUG